rnacentral:rRNA from 1 species
CGGGAGGCAGCAGUCGGGAAUUUUGCUCAAUGGGCGCAAGCCUGAAGCAGCAACGCCGCGUGAGGGAUGAAUGCCCUCGGGUUGUAAACCUCUUUUCUCAGGGACGAUGAUGACGGUACCUGAGGAAUAAGUCACGGCUAACUACGUGCCAGCAGCCGCGGUAAUACGUAGGUGACCAGCGUUGUCCGGAUUUACUGGGCGUAAAGAGCGCGCAGGCGGUCGUUCAAGUCGAGUGUGAAAGCCCCCGGCUCAACUGGGGAGGGUCACUCGAUACUGAUCGACUUGAAGGCAGGAGAGGGAAGCGGAAUUCCCGGUGUAGUGGUGAAAUGCGUAGAUAUCGGGAGGAACACCAGUGGCGAAGGCGGCUUCCUGGCCUGUUCUUGACGCUGAGGCGCGAAAGCUAGGGGAGCAAACGGGAUUAGAUACCCCGGUAGUCCUAGCCGUAAACGAUGGACACUAGGUGUUGGUGGUAUCAACCCCACCAGUGCCGAAGCUAACGCAUUAAGUGUCCCGCCUGGGGAGUACGGCCGCAAGGCUAAAACUCAAAGGAAUUGACGG